AGCUGGUUUCUCAAGAAAAGAAUCUCAGUUCCGCCUAAAGUAAUUUAUAAUCCUUACAAAUAUUCUCAAACCUUUAGAGUAAGUCAAAUAAGGUACAGCCUAUUUGACACAGAACACAACCUUCAACAAUGGGUAAUACAACUUAAAACUUAAGUGGGCCUAAGAGCAGCCACCUUUUAAAAAGCGUCAAAGCUUACACCACACUUCAAUUCGUAAACCACUAUUGACCCCUUCAACCCUAUUGAGAACUCCUAUAACCCUUAUAGGACAUUUUAUGCUAAAACUAGUAACAAGAGGCUACCCCUCUCUACAAUGUAAACUCAAACCAGCUUGAACCCCUCACUGGCAUCCAACAGACUUUGACUAAAGUAACAACCCUUCUAGAAAAUAUUACUUCCACCACUGUUAACCUAACACAAGAACAUUUUAAGAAAGAUUAAAAGAAAAAGAAGGAACUCGGCAAAUAUUAAGUCCGCCUGUUUACCAAAAACAUCACCUCUUGCCCUCACCAUAAGAGGCCCAGCCUGCCCAGUGAUUUUAUUCAACGGCCGCGGUAUCCUAACCGUGCAAAGGUAGCGUAAUCACUUGUCUCCUAAAUAGAGACUAGUAUGAAAGGCAUCACGAGACUUAUACUGUCUCCUCUCUCUAAUCAGUGAACCUAAUCUCCCCG
rnacentral:rRNA from 1 species